UACGUAGGGGGCAAGCGUUGUCCGGAAUCACUGGGCGUAAAGGGCGCGUAGGCGGCCGAUCAAGUCGGGGGUGAAAGCCUGUGGCUCAACCACAGAAUUGCCUUCGAUACUGUUUGGCUUGAGACCGGAAGAGGUUAGUGGAACUGCGAGUGUAGAGGUGAAAUUCGUAGAUAUUCGCAAGAACACCAGUGGCGAAGGCGGCUGACUGGUCCGGUUCUGACGCUGAGGCGCGAAAGCGUGGGGAGCAAACAGG
rnacentral:rRNA from 1 species